rnacentral:tRNA from 1 species
GUUUUGUGAAUCCACCAUGCGCGA